rnacentral:tRNA from 1 species
UCCUUCGUGGUGUAGUGGUUAGCACACUCGACGCGAAACUGAGGGGUCCGUGGUUCGAUUCCCGGCCAAGGCG